UACGGAGGGGGCAAGCGUUGUCCGGAAUUACUGGGCGUAAAGGGCGCGUAGGCGGCUUUCUAAGUCAGGGGUGAAAUCCCAAAGCUUAACCAUGGAACUGCCUUUGAAACUGGAAGGCUCGAGUCCGGAAGAGGGGAGUGGAAUUCCCAGUGUAGCGGUGAAAUUCGUAGAUAUUGGGAAGAACGCCGGUGGCGAAGGCGGCGCCCUGGUCCGGUACUGACGCUGAGGCGCGAAAGCGUGGGGAGCAAACAGG
rnacentral:rRNA from 1 species